UAAUUUUGUAGUUUCGUAGAAUGAACAAGAAAGGGUGCAGUCCUAGUAGUAGAAGUUUUGAGAUAAUAAUUAUAAAAGGUCUUAUUUUGAGCAAUCGAGUGGAUCAUUCGGUUAUCAUUUUAGGCAAGAUUUUAUGCUGGAUUUGAGCUGAAAUUAAGUUUCUAUACCGUAUAAUACCACUGUUUUGUAGGGAAAAAAAAAAACUAGGGGAGGUAAUCCAACUCUUAAGGUUGAUGAGAGCUUCAAAUCUUUUGCCAGAUGGGUUGAUUUAUAGGGAGUUAAUUAGAUGCACGAGUGAGACCCAUACGUUAGAUGAUGCGAAUUCUCUUCUUGAAGAGAUGAUGGAAAACUGUAGAACACCUGCUGUUGAUGUGCUUGUUGAUCUAGUAGUAGGCCUUUGUGCUAUGCUUGAAGGCUGCUGCAAUGCUGGUAAAGCUUUUUUGGCAAAAAAGUAUCCUGGACAAAAUGGAUGAGAGAAAGAUAACAGAUUGUGAUUCUUGGAAUAUUCUAAUCACAUGGCUUUCUGAGAAUAUGGAAAUAAGGAAAACUGAUGAACUUCUUUGUAGAAUGUUUAUAUUUUCCAUAGUUCCUGACUCUGCGACAUACUCAGCUCUUGUUGUAGGCAACUGUUGGUUGAGAAAGUAUGAGGAUGCUCUGUAGGUGUUCCAUCGGGUUUGUAUCAAAAAUUGGGUUCUGGAUUCUAUAUUUUAUUAGGACUUAUGGAGAGCCUUUGCCAGGCAGGAAAGAUUUGGAGGCUGCUGAAGUAUUUCAUGUCAUGUAGAAGAACAGAUGCUCCCUCAGUCCUUACAAUAUGCUGAUAGGUGGCAUGUGUAGCAUGGGACAAGUGGAUAAAGCAAUUUGGCUACGGGGUUUUUCUUACAGUUCUAAUACUUCUUAUACUACUCUAACUUACACGACAAUCAUGCAUGGAUUGUCAAAAUUAAAAAUGGCUAUAGGACUAAUGGUAAUUCUCUCACAAAUUUUGGUGGACAGUUGUGCUAUAGAUGUGGAGGUAUAUUGCAUCCUCAUACAAAGCAUGAGUGCACAAAAUUGAACUAAGGAUUCUGCUUUCUUUUUCAAUGUGCUGGUUAAUGAGGGUUUAGUGCCUGACCAAGAAAGAAUGCAUACACUUCUGUGUUGUUUGGCUAGCCAAUCUGACUUGCACAUGGUUUUAAGUGGGAUUGAUAAACUAGUUUCUAAUAGUGAUACUUUGGAUUCAUCUAUGUGUAACAUACUUAUCAAUGGCCUCUGGAAAGAGGGUCUAAAAUGUGAGGCAUCCUGAUUAUUGGAUCUGAUGUUGGAAAAAGGUUGGGUACCAGAUGCUAUAACUCACAGACUGUUGGUUGGGUCUUUGGAUUCAAUGCAAGAAAUGAAACUGUAAUUAGAAAGUUUCUAAAUUACUCUGGUGGAAAACUCGCCAUGAUGGGAUGAAGAGAAAUCAAAAGAAGAAAUUAUUUCCCAAGACGCGGCAGCCAAGGAGGUCCACCACAAACAAAAGCAGCAGAUGACAAACAUGAGGAGACUGAAGCUGUGAUGGAACAGGAGGCAAAUAAAAGGGGAGAAGGAGGGCAAGAGUCUCCUUAGAGAAAGAAUUUGAAGAAGUAGAAGGAGAGUUGCAGGUCUCUCAAAAAACUGCAUGGCACUUUGAUGUAUGUCGUGUAAUGUGAACCAGCUUGUCUUUCAAGCAUUCAGAAAACUUGUAUUGAAACUUUGAUGUAAACUUGUUCUCAUUACAGAAAAUUAAUAAAGACUACAUUUCCAGUA